rnacentral:rRNA from 1 species
UACGUAGGGUGCAAGCGUUGUCCGGAAUUACUGGGCGUAAAGCGCACGUAGGCGGAUUGUUAAGUCAGGGGUGAAAUCCCGAGGCUCAACCUCGGAACUGCCUUUGAUACUGGCAAUCUCGAGUCCGGAAGAGGUGAGUGGAAUUCCUAGUGUAGAGGUGAAAUUCGUAGAUAUUAGGAAGAACACCAGUGGCGAAGGCGGCUCACUGGUCCGGUACUGACGCUGAGGUGCGAAAGCGUGGGGAGCAAACAGG